rnacentral:rRNA from 1 species
UACGUAGGGAGCGAGCGUUGUCCGGAAUCAUUGGGCGUAAAGAGCAUGUAGGUGGAUCAAUUAGUCUGCUGUGAAAGUCAAAGGCUCAACCUUUGAAAGCCGGUGGAUACUGUUGAUCUAGAGUACGGAAGAGGCGAGUGGAAGUUCCUGGUGUAGCGGUGGAAUGCGCAGAUAUCAGGAGGAACACCAAUAGCGAAGGCAGCUCGCUGGGACGUUACUGACACUGGAGAUGCGAAAGCGUGGGGAGCAAACAGG